GGCGGACGGGUGAGUAAUACUUAGGAAUCUGCCUAUUAGUGGGGGAUAACGGCUCGAAAGGGUCGCUAAUACCGCAUACGUCCUACGGGAGAAAGCAGGGGAUCGUAAGACCUUGCGCUAAUAGAUGAGCCUAAGUCGGAUUAGCUAGUUGGUGGGGUAAAGGCCUACCAAGGCGACGAUCUGUAGCGGGUCUGAGAGGAUGAUCCGCCACACUGGGACUGAGACACGGCCCAGACUCCUACGGGAGGCAGCAGUGGGGAAUAUUGGACAAUGGGGGGAACCCUGAUCCAGCCAUGCCGCGUGUGUGAAGAAGGCCUUAUGGUUGUAAAGCACUUUAAGCGAGGAGGAGGCUCCCGUAGCUAAUAUCUACGGAGAGUGGACGUUACUCGCAGAAUAAGCACCGGCUAACUCUGUGCCAGCAGCCGCGGUAAUACAGAGGGUGCGAGCGUUAAUCGGAUUUACUGGGCGUAAAGCGUGCGUAGGCGGCUUUUUAAGUCGGAUGUGAAAUCCCCGAGCUUAACUUGGGAAUUGCAUUCGAUACUGGGAAGCUAGAGUAUGGGAGAGGAUGGUAGAAUUCCAGGUGUAGCGGUGAAAUGCGUAGAGAUCUGGAGGAAUACCGAUGGCGAAGGCAGCCAUCUGGCCUAAUACUGACGCUGAGGUACGAAAGCAUGGGGAGCAAACAGGAUUAGAUACC
rnacentral:rRNA from 1 species